rnacentral:rRNA from 1 species
UGACCCACCACAGAAGGUAAUAGUCCUGUAUGUUAAACGAGAAGACUGUAGAUAUGAUCCAGAGUACCACGGGACACGUGAAACCCUGUGGGAAGCAGGAGGGACCACCCUCCAAGGCUAAAUACUACCUAGUGACCGAUAGCGUAUAGUACCGUGAGGGAAAGGUGAAAAGAACCCCGGGAGGGGAGUGAAAUAGAACCUGAAACCCUGCACUUACAAGCUGUGGAAGCACAUUUCUUGUGUGACCGCGUACUUUUUGUAGAACGGGC